ACAGAGGUGGGCGGUGCCUAAAGUCUUCUUGUGUGCAACCCUUCCAAAGAGCAUGUUGACACAGAGGUGGGCGGUGCCUACCACUUGAUUUGGAGACUUGCUGACCCCAAGAUGCCACAAGACAAUGCAGUUCUGAAACUGUGAUCCUUGGAUCCUUCUUUGCCUCCCUCACCAUCUUGUUCACCGUGCGUGGGGGCAACAUGGACAUGCGUCCUCUUCUUGGAGAAUGUACAACUGUUCGAGACCUCCAAAACAUUUGGAUUUCAGACUGUGCUUAGUAACAUUUUCAACUGUUUAUGUAUUUUUAUAUAUCCAUUACCUGAUAUGUGUAGGUCUGCAACCAUAUGUCUCCCUUCAACUGACAGCUCUUUGGUUUGACCCAUGUUGAUAGAUGACAAAAGGAUUUUACAACCUCAUAUUUAUACUCCAGGGAAACAGGAACAGGUGUCAAUUUAGUUCCUGGAGACUGAGACCAACUAAAAAGCAUGGCGUUCAUGACAGACCUCACUUUGUUUGGAUAUAUUUAAAAUAUUCUUUAUAUUGGUUUUGGGGUGCCAAUACUUUGAAAACUAUGUUUUUAAGAAAAAAAUGUAGUACUCAGUAAAAUGUUACCUGUUGGAAUUUUGUGGUGUAUGGGGAAUGAAUGCAAAUAGCUCCCCAUAUGUUUGAGCCCAAAAAACAUAUCAUUGUUUGUGUUGUCUUUUGGAAUUACAUUUUGUUCAAUUUAAUUAAAUGGGGCCAAUACUUGAGUUGACUCAAUACAGCUGUUCUUUAUAGGCAACCAUUGUUUGCAUUGCAAAAGCAAAUGGAAAACAAGAAAAGAGCAAAUAAAAAAAAAUAAUUCUCAGUGGGCUUUCUAGGAACCAGGUGCCCUUGUGAGGAACAUGAGUCAACAGUCAGAUAAGAGGUGACCUCUUUCUCUGUGUUUCUCUCAUGCCCUCUCUGUUCCUCUUUUCUUCCUACAGUUACGCACGUAUUUGAGCAGAAUCUCCUACCUAAUCACUUUUUUCCCCUACUAGUCCCUUUUGGGAAUAACAACUACAAUCCUGACAUUGCAAAAGCCAUGUCCUACCAACUAAGCCACCUCAACAACUGCCUGAUAAUACAACAGUGUCGUUGCAUUCUGUGCGUAUGUGCUGGCUAAUACCUCCUGGUUGAGUGAGCGGAACAGAGAUUUACAUCAGAGGACAGUCACAGAUUUUGUCAUUUUUUAAUAACAAUGUGCAAACGCUAGUGCGUAUGCUGUGGGGAAAUAAGAUAAAUGAACACAGAUCAAUAACUCCCUCUCGCUCACCAGCCAGAGGCCGUUGAGAGUCAUGUGUUCUGCAACACUGUUUAGUCAUGUGAGGAAAUUAAUAAACUCAAAGCCAACAAUCUUUCUGACAUCUGUCAUCUUUAGAAUUAUGUUAGAACCCUGAAACUAGGGACCCUGUGUGCUGGUCGAAAUGUAGUGGUGGAAAUGCAGUGGUGGAAAUGCAGUGGAGGAAAUGUAGUGGUGGAAAUGCAGUGGAGGAAAUGCAGUGGAGAAAAUGUAGUGGUGGAAAUGCAGUGGAGGAAAUGCAGUGCUGGAAAUGCAGUGGUGGAAAUGUAGUGGUGGAAAUGCAGUGGAGGAAAUGCAGUGGAGGAAAUGUAGUGGUGGAAAUGCAGUGGAGGAAAUGUAGUGGUGGAAAUCACAGCGUUGUAGUACAACUGUGUCAUUGUGGUCAGGUUUUGGAGACUUGGUCACACCAAUGCAUGUGGGGGGCCAGCUUGAGUCCCAUGGCUGCCGAGGGGGGGUGUACGUGUGGAUGCAGAGGGCUGACUUGUCUGGUUGAGCUCUAGUGACUCCUUGGGGUAGGUCGAGCACCUUUCUAAGCGGAAGGGCCCGGGAAUGCAAACAAAAAACCUGUGUUGAGGGGAGAUACAUUUGGUACUAAGACCAAUAAAUGAGACCUGAAAAUGGGUUGUGACUCAGUUGUUUCUCAUCUGCCUGCUUUAUUUGUUUAGACGCCAGUAGAAGCUAUUGUAAGAUCGUCCUUUCUGAGCAUUUCUGGAAUAUUUUAUUUCAGCUCAUGAAACAUGGGACCAAAACUUUACAUGAGGUGUUAAUAUUUUUGUUCAGUAUACAGUUUAUAUUUAAGCCUGUCAGGUAGUCAUUAUCCAGAUAGAUCACUUAUGAAAAACCUGACCCUCAGGACAGAGCCAGCAGCAACAACUCCAUUAGCUGUAUAUAAAUAAGUCAAAACUAAAUCAAAGCUCAGGGAAAUAAAUCACUCAACACAAGUUAGAUGCUUUGCAUAAUUUCCAUCCUACUUAGUCUACUUCUUUAUUUCUUAAUUUGUUUGUAGUUUUUUUGGUCUUGUGCAAUCCGCAAAAUACUGACGCACUUAAAGAAAUGAUAUCAGAGGCACAUACUGCACAUAAAAAAACACCUGCCGGAUUGUGUCCAAGAGGCGUACAUGUAAACAUUUAAUAAGUAUCAAUACAGCAAAAUACACAGAAUAAAAAUAAACAGUCUUAAAAACAGUUCAAUUCCUUAUCUUUCAGUGAAAUACCAUCAUGUUAAUAACAAAAAUAAUAACGGAAAUAAUAAAAAGUUAUAAUUCUAAAAUGAUACAACUUAAUUGGUCAAUAAAAUAUGUUUCUCAAGUAAUGCAUGUGGCUAUGAAAACCGUGGUUAUAGUUUCUGUUUCAGUCAUGCAUCUCCUAAAGCAGUGGCUCCCAACUCCGGUCCUCCAGUACCCCCAACAGCACACAUUUUUGUUGUAUUCCUGGACAAGCACACCCAAUUCAACUCAAUGAGAGCCUGAUAAUUAGUUGACAAGUUGAAUCAGCUGUGCUUGGCUGGGGCUACAAUGAAAAUGUGUACUAUUGGGGGUCCCUGAGGAGCGUAGUUGGGAGCCACUGUCCUAACGUAUGUAACACACAGCACACUUGAACCAAUGCAUGUGUCCUAACUCUCACCUUAUUCCCUAUAAAGUGCACUACUUUGGACCAGAGACACGUCAGAUCAACAUUUCAGACACAAUGGGUAAUACGGUUACAUUUGGGACUUGUCCUUUGUUACCUCAUUUAGUUGGAGACUUGCCUUUUUAGAUAAUAAUUCAACAGUUAACUGGGGAAAAAUACUGCAAAUCGCAUCAACAUGUGACUUUUUAGUGCUCGUUCCUGAAAACAUCCCUGUUGACAUGUUCACUUUUUGAGACUGUAUUAUCAGUGGAAAAAUACUAAACAAUAGUUUUGGGGGUAAAAAUCCCAUGAACUAACUUACAGUUACAAUCCCAUUAACUAAUUUACAGUUCAGUGUUUACAUCAAAUUCAUUUAUCAAAACUUUUACCCGGAGUGACUUAGAGAAGUGAGUAGAAACAUCUCCAUACUGUUGUUGUACUGUCUCCCCCAGGAACCACCUCCCUGUUGUACUGUCUCCCCUGGGAACCACCUCCCUGUUGUACUGUCUCCCCUGGGAACCACCUCCCUGUUGUACUGUCUCCCCCAGGAACCACCUCCCUGUUGUUGUACUGUCUCCCCCAGGAACCACCUCCCUGUUGUUGUACUGUCUCCCCCAGGAACCACCUCCCUGUUGUUGUACUGUCUCCCCUGGGAACCACCUCCCUGUUGUACUGUCUCCCCCAGGAACCACCUCCCUGUUGUUGUACUGUCUCCCCUGGGAACCACCUCCCUGUUGUACUGUCUCCCCCAGGAACCACCUCCCUGUUGUACUGUCUCCCCUGGGAACCACCUCCCUGUUGUACUGUCUCCCCCAGGAACCACCUCCCUGUUGUACUGUCUCCCCUGGGAACCACCUCCCUGUUGUUGUACUGUCUCCCCCAGGAACCACCUCCCUGUUGUUGUACUGUCUCCCCUGGGAACCACCUCCCUGUUGUUGUACUGUCUCCCCCAGGAACCACCUCCCUGUUGUUGUACUGUCUCCCCUGGGAACCACCUCCCUGUUGUUGUACUGUCUCCCCCAGGAACCACCUCCCUGUUGUACUGUCUCCCCUGGGAACCACCUCCCUGUUGUACUGUCUCCCCUGGGAACCACCUCCCUGUUGUUGUACUGUCUCCCCCAGGAACCACCUCCCUG
ensembl:lncRNA